GGGGCAUCCCAAGAGUGACAUUGAGUCCCAGGGCCGGGUGGGAGAUUAUCUGUGCAGAGGCUGAUAGGAACGUCCCCCAAGGGCUGACUUCAAAGCUACUCUGCCUAACCCCCUGCAUCAAAGUCAGCAGGCUGAGCUGUUUGAACAUUAAAAGGGGAGGGGUGGGCAGCCUCCCCAGCCACCUGCAUCUCACAGCUUCUCUCCUCAGGGUCUCAAAGGCCUUCCUGUGCAAGCAGGUGGGGGUCAGACCACCCUAUUCCCAGGGAGACAAGCCACUACGGGGGGGAGGGGUAACUGCUCCUCAAAACCCUGCAGAAGGUACCCUUGCAUCCCAGGGCUCCAGGGUUCCUAUCCUGGGCCCUGCAGUCCUAGCUUUCCUGGUCAUCCCUUGCCAUUUUCUCAGAGGUCCUCCAGAGAGACCCCCACAGGUGUGGGGGCAGAGAGCAGAGCCACCUCCCCCAGCUCAGCUUACGACCUCACCGUGUGACCUUUGGCCUACCUUGGUCAUCUCUCCAGGGGGCUGGGUCCAGUGGGCUUUUGGAGGUGGCAGAAUAUGUAGAUGUGGUGUGGCAGGACAGCACAGUGGUGCCAAACAGCAGCUCCAGGCUACCCAAAUUGGAUCCCAACUCUGGCGCAGGUGAGGUGUGUGUUGUAUGGCAGGUCACCUAAUCUCUCUAUGCCUCAUUUUCCUCAUCUAUGAACUGAAAUUAAAACCACCAGAACCAGCUGUAUGACCUCCACCCAGCCACCGGAGCCUCGGCUUGCUCAUCAGUGAGCUGGAAGCCAAGCUCGGCAUCCUCCUGCGAAUUGGUGAGGGCACAAGUGGAGGCCAGGGCCCAGUGCCUCACAGAGGUCCAGCGAACGGUGGCUACUAUUGAAACC
rnacentral:lncRNA from 1 species